UGCUAUCUCUCACCACAUCAGCUGUGAAUGAUAAUAAGGAUAUAAUUAUUUGGAAAAAUUAAUAAAAGAUAAAAGUAGUUGCCCAUGCUUUAGUGAUGUGGCAUAAUAUAUAAACGUUCUAUUUUUCCAAUAUAGUUACCCAUGUCAAUCAUAUUGUAACAUCAUAAUACAAGUGCACAUUUCAUCAUUACUAACUAAUGUUAUUCAAAAUAUACAAGCCUUAAGCAUGGUUUUGUACAAUAUGUAAGGAUAACAUCGAGAAAAUGAGGAAAUUAAAUAGCAAAAUAUAGAUCAACAGUCCUUUAAAUCUCAGCAAUGAAUAAAGCUGAAUUUACCUGGCAAAGAGCUUCCUCCAACUA
rnacentral:misc_RNA from 1 species